GAUGAACGCUGGCGGCGUGCCUAAUACAUGCAAGUCGAGCGAACAGAUGAGGAGCUUGCUCCUCUGACGUUAGCGGCGGACGGGUGAGUAACACGUGGAUAACCUACCUAUAAGACUGGGAUAACUUCGGGAAACCGGAGCUAAUACCGGAUAAUAUAUUGAACCGCAUGGUUCAAUAGUGAAAGACGGUUUUGCUGUCACUUAUAGAUGGAUCCGCGCCGCAUUAGCUAGUUGGUAAGGUAACGGCUUACCAAGGCAACGAUGCGUAGCCGACCUGAGAGAGUGAUAGGCGACACUGGAGGUUGGACAGGGACCAGGCUCCUACGGGAGGCAGCAGACGGGAAUGUGCGGCAGUGGGCGAAAGCCUGACGGAGCAACGCGGCGUGAGUGAUAAAGGUCUUGGGAGCGUAAAACUCUGUUACUGGGGAAGAACAGAUGUGUACGUAACUGUGCACGUCUUGACGGUACCGAAUCAGAAAGCCACGGCUAACUACGUG
rnacentral:rRNA from 1 species